UGUUAUUUUGAAGUUUGAACUUCGAAGUAAAUUGAAUAUUUUCUAUUCUAUUGACUAAUAAAAUUAUUAAUUUCAAUUUAAACAUUAUUAUUAUGAUGUACAUGUACUAGAGUAAUAAGUUUAUUUGCCAAAUCCGGCUAACAGAUUUAAACAUAUUCUGUAUCUGUACAUUAUUGACAAUAAUGUAACGAGGAGUAAGAAAAUCUAUUGGAAAAAAAAUUAAAACGCAUAUUACUACCUACAAUAAUCACAUUCAAAUCUUCAAAACGUCAAACAGGUAUUGACACGUUAUAUCAACUGAAUAAAUAAAUCAGAUACCUUCGAUAUUCUAGCAACUAUAUACAUUCUAAAGGAACUUGGAUCUAAUCUACCUUCAGUUGAAGAAAUAAAAGAAGCCACUUGAAAAAUAAAACAUGAAAUCAAGAGCUUUUAAUUUUAUCAAAAAAUUAUAGAAAAAUGAAGAAAGUCAAGAGGGCAACAGAGUUCUUGUCAUUAAAUUAAAAAAAAAAAAAACAUGCAAUGGUUUAAUGGAAGGUUAGAUUAAAAGUAAUACACUAACGCCCCUGGUGUUUAAUCUCUGGAAAUACACAAUUAAUCAUGUGUAAUCAAAUCAAAUAUAGUAUCAAAUGUAAUCAGCCAAUUGUUUAAAAUCUAUUUUGAUUUAAAGCCAAUCAUUUACAGUUGAAACAUGUCCUUUGUAUAUUAUAAUUCGAAACAUAAUGUUGUUGAUUAUUUCAAUCAAAAUAGCAUGAUCAAAUGGAACCUCUAACAAAAUUACAUUAUUAUAUACAUUUUUUUCAUUCUAAGUAUUAACUAUAUUAUAUUUCAAUUUAUUACUAUUUUAGUAUUAUGCAUAUAAUUAUGUUUAACAUAUUAGAAUUUGUUAAAUAAACAUAAUAUACUAUAUAAUUGAAUAAUUGUGAAUAAUUAUAAAUAAAUAAAAGCGAAUAAUUUAGAUAUAAUGACUUAACCAUUUUAAAUUAGUUAUAUUGGAACUUUAUAGUACACUACAACAUCCUUAAACAUUAUAUGGACAAAAAUAAUUAAUAAGUACCUAUUUACGAAAAAUUAGGAAUAAUCACAACUUGCUAUAUGGGCCAAUAUCCAUAAUAAUAUAUAUAAUAUAUUCAUGUUAAUUAUGAAAUUGACUUACAUUGUUUAUCAAAAUUUUGAUUGUUAACACAUUUAUUAUAAAUUACUUUUUGCACUGUUCCCUCUUCCAUUCAUAGAUUU